rnacentral:rRNA from 1 species
GAUGAACGCUGGCGGCGUGCCUAAUACAUGCAAGUCGAGCGAACAGAUGAGGAGCUUGCUCCUCUGACGUUAGCGGCGGACGGGUGAGUAACACGUGGAUAACCUACCUAUAAGACUGGGAUAACUUCGGGAAACCGGAGCUAAUACCGGAUAAUAUAUUGAACCGCAUGGUUCAAUAGUGAAAGACGGUUUUGCUGUCACUUAUAGAUGGAUCCGCGCCGCAUUAGCUAGUUGGUAAGGUAACGGCUUACCAAGGCAACGAUGCGUAGCCGACCUGAGAGGGUGAUCGGCCACACUGGAACUGAGACACGGUCCAGACUCCUACGGGAGGCAGCAGUAGGGAAUCUUCCGCAACGGGCGAAAGCCUGACGGAGCAACGCCGCGUGAGUGAUGAAGGUCUUCGGAUCGUAAAACUCUGUUAUUAGGGAAGAACAAAUGUGUAAGUAACUAUGCACGUCUUGACGGUACCUAAUCAGAAAGCCACGGCUAACUGCGUG